rnacentral:rRNA from 1 species
GACGGGGGAUGCAAGCGUUAUCCGGAAUCACUGGGCGUAAAGCGUCUGUAGGUGGUGAUGCAAGUCACUGGUGCAAAACUCUGGCCCAACCGAAGGAAAGCCAGUGAAACUGCAUGACUAGAGUGUGGGAGAGGUAGAAGGAAUUCCCUGAGUAGCGGUGAAAUGCGUAGAUACAGGGAAGAACACCGGAGGCGAAAGCGUUCUACUGGAACACAACUGACACUGAUAGACGAAAGCUAGGGGAGCGAAUGGG